rnacentral:lncRNA from 1 species
AGAGUCAUCUGCACAGCAAGUGGCAGUGUCCCGUCUCAGUGCUUCUAGUUCGAGCUCAGACUCCAGCUCCUCCUCCUCGUCCUCAUCUUCUUCAGACACCAGCGAUUCAGACUCGGGCUAAGGGCCAGGCCAGAUGGGGCAGGAAGGCUCCGCAGGACCGGACCCCUGUACCACCCUUCCCCACUUUUCCCUUGCUGUGACGCUUCUUCAUCUCACCCCUCCAUAGGAGAGCUGGCUCUGCAGUGGGGAGGAAUGCAGGGACACGGACAAAAUAAGAUUGAAUUCCUAGCCCUGUUGGGUGUGAUGUCCCUGUUGAGGAUGAUGGGGGUGGGGCAAGGGUAUGAGUGGGUGUGGGCAUAUGCCUGGCACCAAGCCCCCUGAGCUGCAGCUGUCCUGUUCACUUCUAAGGGCCCUGUUUUGAGGUUUUAAUUUAUUUAAGCUAGGUGGUAAGGCUGGGGGUGUAGCGCCGUGGUCCGCCCUCCAGCCUCCAUGGGGAGGGAAGAAGAGGGAGCUCUUUUUGUUUUUUUACAUUGACUUUUUUUUCUACUCUUCCCUUUUACUUCCACUCCAUUUGGGGCCUGGGGAUUUUAGUCACCUCUCCAGUUGGCCCCCAGACUGUCUUUUCUUUCUUGAUUCUAACUUGUAAAUAAAGAAAAUAUUAUUGAAAAAAAAAA